CAUUGAAACACCAGUUCUCAUAUGAUCACUGAAGUUAAGCAACAUGAAGCCUGGUCAGUACUUAGAUGGGUGACCAGUUAGGGAUACCAGGUGCUGUAU
rnacentral:rRNA from 1 species